rnacentral:rRNA from 1 species
CCUACGGGGCGCAGCAGUGAGGAAUAUUGGUCAAUGGGCGCGAGCCUGAACCAGCCAAGUCGCGUGAGGGAAGACGGUCCUAUGGAUUGUAAACCUCUUUUGUCGGGGAGCAAAAGACGCCACGCGUGGCGUUCCGAGAGUACCCGAAGAAAAAGCAUCGGCUAACUCCGUGCCAGCAGCCGCGGUAAUACGGGGGAUGCGAGCGUUAUCCGGAUUUAUUGGGUUGAAAGGGUGCGCAGGCGGAAGAUCAAGUCAGCGGUAAAAUUGAGAGGCUCAACCUCUUCGAGCCGUUGAAACUGGUUGUCUUGAGUGAGCGAGAAGUAUGCGGAAUGCGUGGUGUAGCGGUGAAAUGCAUAGAUAUCACGCAGAACUCCGAUUGCGAAGGCAGCAUACCGGCGCUCAACUGACGCUCAUGCACGAAAGUGUGGGUAUCGAACAGGAUUAGAUACCCUUGUAGUC